CAAACCUGAAACCUCAUGUUCCUGGUCAGAUUCGUUAACCACUGAGCUAAGAUGGGAACUCCAUGGGCUUAGAAUUUGAAAAGAUCCCAGUUUUUCUCAAAUGAUGACCCUAAGUGCUUGCGAAACAAACAGAAUGAUCACAUUAAUUUUUAUUUAUUCAGGCUCUAAUAAGAAAUUAGGAUUUUUUUUUUUUCUUUCUUUCUUUUUUUUUUUUUUUGUCUUUUUAGGGCCAUACCUGAGGCACAUGAAAGUUCCCAGGCUAGGGUCAAAUUGGAGUUGCAGCUUCUGGCCUACGCCACAGCCACACCAGAUCAGAGCCUCGUCGGGGACCUACACCACAGCUGACAGCAACACCGAUCCUUAACCAACUGAUCAAGGCCAGGGAUUGAACCUGUGUCCUCAUGGAUACUAGUCAGGUUCAUUACUGCUGAGUCACAGUGGGAAUUCCUAGUUUACUUUUUUAAUAGUGAAAUUCAUUUACUCAAUUUAACUUUAUUUAAUCUUAGCCAGUCCUGAAUCUGUACAGAACUCUUCAGAAAGUUCUGUUUCCACAGAGCAAGCUUUUGUACCUUUCUAUUUUAUCCUAUUCCUUUUUUUUUUCUCUCCUUUUUCCUUUGAUAAAAGAUGUUUGCCUUACAAGCUGUUGUUGUGUCAAUUGCAUUAACUAGAAUUAAUGUAUUAACUACAAUUCCUGUCCUCUUUUUUUUUUUUUAUCUUUUGUCUUUUUAGGGUCCCACUCUUGGCAUAUGGAGGUUCCCAGGCUAGGGGUCUAAUCGGAGCUGCAGCUGCCGGCCUACACCACAGCCACAGCAAUGCUAGAUCUAAGCUGCGUCUGUGACCUACAGCACAGCUCACGGCAAAGCCAGAUCCUUAACUCACUGAGGGAGGCCAGGGAUCCAACCUACAACCUCAUGGAUCCUAGUCAGAUUUGUUUCUGCUGCACCAUGAUGGGAACUCCAAGGAUUCCUAUCUUCUUAAAACCUUAAUUUUAGUAAAAACUAAGAAGUAAGCAAUUAUAAAUUGUCUUUCUUAUUAUUAUUCUAUAGAUUGGCAAAAUCACAAAUACUGUUGAUGAUCUCUAGAAAACAUGUGCUUUUUUUUUUUUCCCACUGUACCUGAGGGAUGUGGAAGUUCCUAGGCCAGGGAUUGAACCACCGCCACAGCAGUGACAAUGCUGGAUCCUUAACCACUAGGCCACCAGGGAACUCAAAACAUGUGCUUUUUUUUCUAGAAAAAUUUUCCGUGUGUCAUUGUUGCUGAAACUCAGCCUCUGUCCACCAGUGCUGAUGCCCUAAAACCAUACCCUUCUGGGCUUGGGGAAAAACUGGGGGGAGUUUUAUAGUCUAAGAGGAGACAAUCAGGGUAUCAGAUAAGAAUCAAGGUUGGUACAAACAUGCACUCCCCUUUCUUUCGGGGGAAUCUUGGUCAUGGAAGCUGGCAUGGAGAGAUCUCCCUGUGAUCCUGCUGGUGGUCUUCUGGGUGAUUCAGUCUUGACCUUUCCUAGAAUAAUGACACAAAGGAAAGGCAUGUAGAUCAGAGAUUAGGACAAACUAGGAGAGUUGCUGAACAACAUCAGGUGCUUAGCCGUCUUGAACCCACNACUUAGCCCCUAAAAACAAGAAAUGGGGGGCCCAGAAAGGCUUGUGUGCCCAGGAGUCCCUCAGGGCACAUUCCUACGAUGAAUACUUAAUGUUUCAGUGUUAUUUUAUUUGGGAGUGAUCUAGACACUUAAUAAAUUUCCAUUAUUUAAUUUAACUUAGCA
rnacentral:lncRNA from 1 species